rnacentral:rRNA from 1 species
CAUGGCAGGCCUAAAUACCCUAAAAGCAUCAAAUCCUGUCUGAUCUUGGAAAUUAAGCAGGGCCAGUCCUGGUUACUACUUGAGUGGAAAACCACCAAGGAAGAUCAGGUGCUGUAAGCU